rnacentral:rRNA from 2 species
ACUAGCAUAUCAAUAAGCGGAGGAAAAGAAACCAACCGGGAUUGCCCUAGUAACGGCGAGUGAAGCGGCAACAGCUCAAAUUUGAAAUCUGGAUCCUUUGGCUUCCGAGUUGUAAUUUGCAGAGGGAGCCUCGGAGGGCGAGACGGUCCAAGUGCCUUGGAACAGGAUACCGCAGAGGGUGAGAGUCCCGUAUCCGGCCGAUCUUGCGCUCCGUGUGAGGCCCCUUCGACGAGUCGAGUUGUUUGGGAAUGCAGCUCCAAGCGGGUGGUAAAUUCCAUCUAAAGCUAAAUACUGGCCAGAGACCGAUAGCGCACAAGUAGAGUGAUCGAAAGAUGAAAAGCACUUUGAAAAGAGAGUCAAACAGUACGUGAAAUUGUUGAAAGGGAAGCGCAUGGGGGCAGACUUGGACGCGGGGUUCAGCGUUCCUUUUGGAGCGUGUACUUCCCCGCGUGCAGGCCAGCAUCGGUUCCGGGGGCCGGACAAAGACGUUGGGAAUGUGGCUCCCCUCGGGGAGUGUUAUAGCCCGGCGUGCAAUGCGGCCACCUGGGACCGAGGACCGCGCCUUGGCAAGGAUGCUGGCGUAAUGGCCUCAUGCGGCCCGUCUUGAAACACGGACCAAGGAGUCUAACAUCUAUGCGAGUGUUUGGGUGGCAAGCCCGGACGCGCAAUGAAAGUGAACGGAGGUGGGAGUCUGUUACAGGACGCACCAUCGACCGAUCCGGACGUCUUCUGAAGGAUUUGAGUAAGAGCAUAGCUGUUGGGACCCGAAAGAUGGUGAACUAUGCGUGAAUAGGGUGAAGCCAGAGGAAACUCUGGUGGAGGCUCGCAGCGGUUCUGACGUGCAAAUCGAUCGUCAAAUUUGCGUAUAGGGGCGAAAGACUAAUCGAACC